rnacentral:rRNA from 1 species
GACGAACGCUGGCGGCGUGCUUAACACAUGCAAGUCGAACGGAAAGGCCCUGCUUUUGUGGGGUGCUCGAGUGGCGAACGGGUGAGUAACACGUGAGUAACCUGCCCUUGACUUUGGGAUAACUUCAGGAAACUGGGGCUAAUACCGGAUAGGAGCUCCUGCUGCAUGGUGGGGGUUGGAAAGUUUCGGCGGUUGGGGAUGGACUCGCGGCUUAUCAGCUUGUUGGUGGGGUAGUGGCUUACCAAGGCUUUGACGGGUAGCCGGCCUGAGAGGGUGACCGGCCACAUUGGGACUGAGAUACGGCCCAGACUCCUACGGGAGGCAGCAGUGGGGAAUAUUGCACAAUAGGCGGAAGCCUGAUGCAGCAGCGCCGCGUGCGGGAUGACGGCCUUCGGGUUGUAAACCGCUUUCGCCUGUGACGAAGCGUGAGUGACGGUAAUGGGUAAAGAAGCACCGGCUAACUACGUG